rnacentral:rRNA from 1 species
AUUGAACGCUGGCGGAAUGCUUUACACAUGCAAGUCGAGCGGCAGCACGGGGGCAACCCUGGUGGCGAGCGGCGAACGGGUGAGUAAUACAUCGGAACAUGCCCAGUCGUGGGGGAUAACACUUCGAAAGAAGUGCUAAUACCGCAUACGUCCCGAGGGAGAAAGCGGGGGAUCUUCGGACCUCGCGCGAUUGGAGUGGCCGAUGUCAGAUUAGCUAGUUGGUGGGGUAAAGGCCUACCAAGGCAACGAUCUGUAGCUGGUCUGAGAGGAUGAUCAGCCACACUGGGACUGAGACACGGCCCAGACUCCUACGGGAGGCAGCAGUGGGGAAUUUUGGACAAUGGGGGCAACCCUGAUCCAGCCAUUCCGCGUGAGUGAAGAAGGCCUUCGGGUUGUAAAGCUCUUUCGGCAGGAACGAAACGGCGAGCUCUAACAUAGCUUGCUAAUGACGGUACCUGGAGAAGAAGCACCGGCUAACUACGUGCCAGCAGCCGCGGUAAGAC